CCUACGGGAGGCAGCAGUGAGGAAUAUUGGUCAAUGGGCGUAAGCCUGAACCAGCCAAGUCGCGUGAGGGAUGAAGGUUCUAUGGAUUGUAAACCUCUUUUAUAAAGGAAUAAAGUGCGGGACGUGUCCCGUUUUGUAUGUACAUUAUGAUUAAGGAUCGGCUAACUCCGUGCCAGCAGCCGCGGUAAUACGGAGGUUCCGAGCGUUAUCCGGAUUGAUGGGGUUUAAAGGGUGCGUAGUCGGACUUUUAAGUUAGCGGUGAAAGUCUGUGGCUCAACCAUAGAAUUGCAAUUGAAACUGGGAGUCUUGAGUAUGUUUGAGGCAGGUGGAAUUCGUGGUGUAGGGGUGAAAUGCUUAGAUAUCAAGAAGAACACUGAUUGCGAAGGCAGCCUACC
rnacentral:rRNA from 1 species